rnacentral:rRNA from 1 species
GGAUUAGAUACCCGGGUAGUCCACGCCGUAAACGAUGUCGACUUGGAGGCUGUGAGCUUGACUCGUGGCUUCCGGAGCUAACGCGUUAAGUCGACCGCCUGGGGAGUACGGCCGCAAGGUUAAAACUCAAAUGAAUUGACGGGGGCCCGCACAAGCGGUGGAGCAUGUGGUUUAAUUCGAUGCAACGCGAAGAACCUUACCUGGUCUUGACAUCCACGGAAGCCUGCAGAGAUGCGGGUGUGCCUUCGGGAGCCGUGAGACAGGUGCUGCAUGGCUGUCGUCAGCUCGUGUUGUGAAAUGUUGGGUUAAGUCCCGCAACGAGCGCAACCCUUAUCCUUUGUUGCCAGCGGGUGAUGCCGGGAACUCAAAGGAGACUGCCGGUGAUAAACCGGAG